CAGUGAUUUAUUUAGUGAUUUCCAGUGAGCUUUUAUUCAGUUAAAACAAUCCGUAAAAAGAAAAAUCUGAUUCCAGAUUGUACCAUUUAUCGUUAAUGUUUUACUCAUAUGACAACCUUAAACUGGGAGGAAAAUUAAAAUUAACCUGCCCACUGGGCCAUUUUCUGCCAAUACAGUGUCAAUUUGUAUUUGUUAGCAGCUUAGUUGCACACUUUGUUUAGAAACACCUCUUCAUCACUUUAAGCAUUUAUGGUUUAACUUUGAAUCUUC